UACGAAGGGGGGCUAGCGUUGCUCGGAAUCACUGGGCGUAAAGCGCACGUAGGCGGAUUGCUAAGUCAGGGGUGAAAUCCUGGAGCUCAACUCCAGAACUGCCUUUGAUACUGGCGAUCUCGAGUCCGGGAGAGGUGAGUGGAACUGCGAGUGUAGAGGUGAAAUUCGUAGAUAUUCGCAAGAACACCAGUGGCGAAGGCGGCUCACUGGCCCGGUACUGACGCUGAGGUGCGAAAGCGUCGGGGAGCAAACAGG
rnacentral:rRNA from 1 species